UUUCUCCCCGAAAAAAAUGUCUAAAUAUUCUUAACAGAAUGCAUUCAGGGCUUGAACAAUGCGCUGAUUAGAAGGUUUCUAAUGUUUCUCUUGUACUUGUCGUACCUUCAGCAAUGCUGUGUUGUGUUGUUACGUGAAUGCUGCCUUGCCUCAAGCUGCAGUUUGCAUUAAUUUUUUUGGUGUGUUAAAGACGCAAAAUCGAUGCCCGUUCGCGGAUUAUGCUAUUGUGCUGUGAUAUUUGCCUUUGUCAAUCAUCAAAUUCUCAAUUUCGUAUGGUGGUUACCGUGAAAAAGUGGAUUGAAAUUCUAUCGCACCGAUUACGAACGCCAUAACGCUAAUUGUUUGUUAUCGCUGUGCACUGUAUAGGAUGGCUAUGAGAGAAACUGGCAAUACACCGUCGAUCUGCAAACAAUGCUCUUCUUCAAUCGUCCGAGGUGAUGCUUGUAUCGCUUGCGAAGGUUUAUGCGGCAAAGUGUAUCACAUUAAGUGCGUCGGGCUUAGUAGAGACGAAUUGAAGGCAUACCUAAAAAAAUCCAAUUUUUGGUGGAUUUGUGAUAUGUGCAUCCAACAGAUACGUGAAAUAAGAAAUGAUCGUUUACCGCAGAAAGACGUUAAUCUUCAGGCGAGCCCUCGAACAGAAGCUGUGAAAGUAAAGAUGUCACACGGAGAUGAAAUUUUGGAAAUAAAGAAACAAAUUGCUGCCAUCCAGGAUACCCUUAGAAAUGUUAAUAUGAACGAAACUGGAAUUGAAGUGCAAUCUAUUCGAACCUUCAAUACUGAUCCGCCCGCUGCUUCCCCGAUUACGUCACCAAAACUGCUAUGCGGAACAAAGAAUACUACGAACCCUAACGCUUCCGUUGUCCCCGAUGUGUUGAAUGGAAAAUGUUGGCUCUUCUUUACGAGGCUGAAGAACCAUGUUACAGAACAU